UAGUGGCGCACGGGUGCGUAACGCGUGGGAAUCUGCCCUUGGGUUCGGAAUAACAGUUAGAAAUGACUGCUAAUACCGGAUGAUGUCGUAAGACCAAAGAUUUAUCGCCCAAGGAUGAGCCCGCGUAGGAUUAGCUAGUUGGUGGGGUAAAGGCCCACCAAGGCGACGAUCCUUAGCUGGUCUGAGAGGAUGAUCAUCCACACUGGGACUGAGACACGGCCCAGACUCCUACGGGAGGCAGCAGUGGGGAAUAUUGGACAAUGGGCGAAAGCCUGAUCCAGCAAUGCCGCGUGAGUGAUGAAGGCCUUAGGGUUGUAAAGCUCUUUUACCCGGGAUGAUAAUGACAGUACCGGGAGAAUAAGCUCCGGCUAACUUCGUGCCAGCAGCCGCGGUAAUACGAGGGGAGCUAGCGUUGUUCGGAAUUACUGGGCGUAAAGCGCACGUAGGCGGCUUUGUAAGUAAGGGGUGAAAGCCCAGAGCUCAACUCUGGAAUUGCCUUUUAGACUGCAUCGCUUGAAUCCAGGAGAGGUGAGUGGAAUUCCGAGUGUAGAGGUGAAAUUCGUAGCUAUUCGGAAGAACACCAGUGGCGAAGGCGGCUCACUGGACUGGUAUUGACGCUGAGGUGCGA
rnacentral:rRNA from 1 species